UGGAAGGGCCAUCGCUCAACGGAUAAAAGGUACGCCGGGGAUAACAGGCUAAUCACUCUCUAGAGACCUUAUCGACGGAGUGGUUUGGCACCUCGAUGUUGGAUUAUCGCAUCCUGGUAUUGUAAGUGAUUCCAAGGGUUUGGUUGUUCGCCAAGUAAAGCGGUACAUGAUCUGAGUUUAGAACGUCGUGAGACAGUUUGGUCCCUAUCUACCACAAGUGUCAAAAAUUGAAAGGAUUAAACCCUAGUACGAGAGGACCGGGAAAAGUAAACCCAUGGUGUGUCGGUUGUUGUACCAACAGCAUAGCCGAGUAGCUAAGUUUAUAUUAGAUAAUUGCUGAAAGCAUUUAAGCGAGAAACUAACCUUGAAACUUAUUUUUUAAAACGUAAUAGACUAUUACGUUGAUAGGCUUAUAUUUUGUGUAAAGGUUGUGAAACUCUUAGCAUAUAAGUACUAAUAAU
rnacentral:rRNA from 1 species